CGUAGGGUGCGAGCGUUAAUCGGAAUUACUGGGCGUAAAGCGUGCGCAGGCGGUUUUGUAAGACAGAUGUGAAAUCCCCGGGCUCAACCUGGGACCUGCAUUUGUGACUGCAAGGCUAGAGUACGGUAGAGGGGGAUGGAAUUCCGCGUGUAGCAGUGAAAUGCGUAGAUAUGCGGAGGAACACCGAUGGCGAAGGCAAUCCCCUGGACCUGUACUGACGCUCAUGCACGAAAGCGUGGGGAGCAAACAGGAUUAGAUACCCUGGUAGUCCACGCCCUAAACGAUGUCAACUGGUUGUUGGGUCUUUACUGACCCAGUAACGAAGCUAACGCGUGAAGUUGACCGCCUGGGGAGUACGGCCGCAAGGUUG
rnacentral:rRNA from 1 species